CUUCAGCGACCCCAGCCACAGCGGCUCCACCCGGCCCUGCCCGUAGGUCGCGAGCAGUGCCUGCGCCUC
rnacentral:antisense_RNA from 1 species